rnacentral:lncRNA from 1 species
GUGUCCAUUCCGCAUUCCCAGCCUGGGGGCGCGCGCGGCUCCUUAAUGAGAGCCGGCCCAGGGCUGGCCUCGCCGUUCAGUUCUACUCCGCUUUACAUUUAAUUUUUUUCCCCCUCUGAGAUUAAGGUUGGUGCGAUCCGAGAGGGGUCGGUCGGCUGCUGCGACUGCGGUUCUCCUGAGCAGACGCCACAGCCGAAGCCGACCGAGGUCCCUUUUCAGGGAAUGCCAGCUCCCCGCAGGGUGCCGGAGAUGUUUUCGGUGGUUCUAUCCGAGGCGCGGGUAGGGGGCAGCCUCCCACAGCCUCUGAGUCCUCCUGGGUCUGCAGGGCACCCGGUGGGAAUCAGACAAGCUGCCGCGCCCAGCUCCUCUGGUUGGAGCUCCUCGGGUAAGAGGCAAGGGGCGCCGCUGGAGGCCGAGGAGAGACUUGCCUCUGCCUACAGGUUGUUUUGCAAACCUCUGAAAGGUGUCCGGGCGCGGAGGUGGGUGGGUGGGUGCGAGAAACUGCCCCUCUGUACUCUCACCCAGUCAUCAGCUGAAGAGAGGGGGGUGUGAGGCAGACAUUCACUCCCACCAUCGCGCCUUUUCCAUUAGAACGCAACCCAAAUCAGACCCGACCGUCAACCGCCAAUAGUCAAUCAGGCAUGAGAUCAAUGGCAAUGAUCUGACAGCAUUAUUGGAUGUCACGAGGGAAUCCUGAGAGGUCUGAUCUCUAUCAGUCCUACUCUGGAGGGGCAGUCUCUUGUCCCAUGGGCAUAGCCCAUAGUGAGAGAAUAGAACUUGAGAGUCACCCGUUAUACCAGAUGGAGUAUGGGCUAGACAGAUCAGAGCAAUGGCUGGUGGGACUCUCCGUCUACACUUUAUCUGUCAUACUCGGGUCUUUUCUAGCCUUCCUGAUCCUGUGAGUGUCCUUUUUGGGAAAAUGGGUUUGGAUGAUGACGAUAGGAACCUUCCUUGCCCCCCCCCCCCCCAGCUGCUGACUAUCCCUGCUUAGGUUUCAUAUUGGAACCUGCCUAGCUGUUCUUGCUCCUCCCUCAUAGCUCAGAGGUUCAGUGGGGAGAGCUAACAGUCUAUUGGAGGCCCUGGGGAAAGACUAUGCUGUAGUAGUCAAAGAAGAUGAUUCUCAUUAGGUCCCUAAUGCCUGGUGGCAAUUAAUGUCACCUAAGGGCUUAUUAACCAUCCCAAGGAGAGGCAAGCCAGCUACCAGCUCUCUCUCCUCCACCCCCAAUCUGUGAUGUUGAGGCAUAGAGUACAGGACCCACUAAACACAAGCAGAAUCCUUCUGGCCCUGACCACCAGCCCACUGGGGAUCCAGAACUUAGGGAUGGCUGGAUGAAGGAGACAAAGCUGCUUCCUCUAAGAUGCUGCCCAGGCUGCCCUUCUCCACAGCUUCUGUAGCUGACUCAAGAGCCAGUUCAGGUGAGGGCCCACCCUACCCUCCUAGCCCUGGCUGGAAGUAGCACACGGUGUUGGGUAGGGUGCUGGUAGGCUGGGCAUCAUGGAGUUCUGAAGAAACCAACUCAGUUUCCCCUCCUUGCACCCCAACUUCCAUAACAGUACUGUGGAUGUCUCCAAUGCCACAGGUGUCAAGGGAGAAUUAGCCCUUGUUCCCAUGGAUCUUCUGUUCUGGAAGGGAAGGGUAGAUGCUAAGCAUGUGAACUAGACUCUGGGGACACCUGAGGGUACUGCCAUCUUUGUGUGUGUGUGUGUGUUUAUGGGAUAUACACAAGCCUGUGGAAGCUAGAGGUCAAAGUGAACUGUCUUCCUCAAUCUCUCUCUACAUCAUCUUCACCUCCAUCAUCAUCACUACCACCAUCAUCAUCAUCGUCGCCGUUGUCUCUCACUGAACUCGAAACUCAUUGUUUGGGCUAGACUGACCAGCCAGCCAAUUCCAAGGAUCUGCACAUCUCUGCCUCUUCACCCUGUGGGUUAUAGACACACUUCACUAUGCCUGAUUCUUACAUGUUUGACGUUGAUGUGAACUAGGGCCCUCAUGCUUGUGCUGUAAGCACUUUGCUGACCUCUUGCUAGCCCGUGAUCCUGUCAUCCUCACAGAGUGGUGGUCUGGACUCCAGCCCUAUUCUUUCCAUACCUCCCAAGGUGAUACGUUCGUCACUAACAAUGAAGACUUGCCGUGUCAGCAUGCCUGAUGACCCAGUCGGUUCCUGGGUUCCACAUACUCCUCUCGUCCAACUCAGAGGAGUGAGCCAUCUGGAAAGUACAAUACCAAAAGAGUCUCAGUUUUACUGUGCAGGGACACCUUACUUUUGUCAGCUGCAUUCUGGAGUUCAAGGAAGAAGAUAACUGGAGUAAAAUGUACUUAUCCAGUUGUCCCUAGCCUGACAACUAGGAUGUCAGGAGAGAGGAUGAUCUUCCAGGCCAUGUGAUAAGCUACCUGUGGUCUCACCAAGAAGUAUUGGUCUUGGAGUUCCUGUGAGCCAUGCCCUGGGGACCUAGAUGGCAGAGGUCAAAUGGGGCCUAGGCUGGAGGAAGGGAUGUAGGGAGGAACAGAGAGAGGGCUGGCAUGCAUGGCAGUCUUCUUCCUGUUUUUCCUUUCUGAGUGUCUUUCUGGAUGGAGUUUUGUCAAUGGCUGGGACCAUCUCCUUUGCCAGCUCCUUUGUGAUGCUUGGGAGAGAGAAGAAGGAGUAGGGGGAGGGGAGGGAGUGGGGCUCUGCUCCAGCACCUUGCACAGGUGCUCAUCAAGACCCAAUCCAGAGCCAGUACUGCUUCCUCCCUGUCUGACCAGCCCCUGUGAGAGUGUCCUGGCUUUCAGAAUGCCUACCACUAGGAGGAGACAGGCGGGGGGGGGGGGGGGGGCUUCCUGGGACCUCCUGGGGCUUCUCAUCAGAUUCCCUAAGUUAGCCCUCACUCUUGUAAUCACUGCAAACAUCACACUAUGUUAACUCUGCCAUUUUAUUAACCACUUUGAUUUUGUGAGUGUGUGGUGUAUGUAUAUGUUUAGGAUGUACUUACCCCCUACCCACUACUCCUCUCUCUCUCUCUCUCUCUCUCUCUCUCUCUCUCUCUCUCUCUCUCUGUGUGUGUGUGUGUGUGUGUGUGUGUGUGUGUGUGUGUAAGCUGGUUUAGCUAUCCAGCUUUGUUUCGUUUUGUUUUUUAAUUUGGGAGACAGCGUCUCUCACUGAACCUGGAACUUAACUGUUUCAGCUAGACCAGCAGGGAUCCACUUGCCUCCACCCUGCCCAGGUUAUAGGUAUUCAUGGCUACUUCCAGAUUUUUACAUGGGGAUCUGAAUUCAGGUCCUCAUGUUUGCACAACACUUGAGCCACUGAGCCAUCUCCCUAGGCAGGAACAAAUCCUUUUUAUUGAGUGCUGUGCUCGGGAUUGGAAUGAAUAGGCUGGGCAAGACAAACACCCAGAUGGUAGACGUUUGAGAGCCUCCAAACCCUCAGGGAGGCAGUGGCACUGAGCACUAGCAUCAGGAGUGCCUCUGAGGUGCUGGCCGCUGGGCUUGGGAAUCUGCAUGCAUUCUGGUGGGUGCUUGCCUCGCCCCUAUACUGUUUCCAUUUCCAGUGGUGCCUCAGAGACAAGAUGUUUCCUGACUGGGUUAGAAACCAACAGCACCAAACCAAAUGUGAGAUCCAGAGGUCAGAUAAGUAGCCACCUGACCAUUGCAUCCCAUUGAGCUCCACAGACAGCCAGCCUCUGUUUAUCCCUGGUUGUACUUAAUGGCCAGGAGGGUUCUAAGCAUACACAGAACUUUCAGCUUAGAGAAGUCAUUGGAGCAAAGGAUCCAGUACAAGAUGUCCAGGAACAAGGGGUCACUGUUUCCUGUACCCCUGUGUUGUCCACAGCAACUCAGCCUGUUGUCCCCUCAUCCCACCACAGCACUGACUCACAACUCUGUGCAUUCGUUGUGGAGUCUACCCCAAGGUUACUUGUACAUAGGGUUAUCAUCACCAUCAUCCUGCCUCUGGUCUGCAGGCUCCUCACCUCCCACUGCCUGAUGGGAUCCUAGCUACAAUUCCACAGUCAUCACUAAUCUCUGUUCCUGAAGACAUCAGCAGCUAAAGGCAGAGAGACCUGUUUCCCGUUCUGUAAGGCAAGUUCUGCCUAGUUCCCUCCAAUUUCUGUAAUAAAAUGUCACCGGCUGGGCGAAUUAACACAUUUACUUCUUCUCUUGCUGAAGGCUGGAAGUCCAAUAUGAAGGUGUUGGCAGGGUUGCGUCUUUGGAGGGCAGAUGGAUGUCUUCUGUGUGGUCAUAUGGCCACUUCUCGGUACUCAUGAAUCCUUGGUUUCUUUUCUUUUAAUAAGGACAAUAGUCCUUUGGAUGUGAGCCCCACGCCAGCGGCCCCAUUUCAAUUUAAUCACCUGUUCAAACGCCUUGUCUCCAAAUACAGCUGCAUUCUGUUACUUAGAGGCAAAACUUCAAUGUGUCAAUUUUAAGAGUUCACAAUUUAGCUCCUAACAGCAUCUGUAACUCACCAUCCACACUGGGGUGUCCCUGAGAGGAAGAGGAAUGCUCAGAAUAAUGAUGUCGGAGCAGCAGCCUUACAUGAGCAAUCGAGGGAAACCAGAACACUGGGCGCG